GAUGAACGCUGGCGGCGUGCCUAAUACAUGCAAGUCGAGCGAACGGACGAGAAGCUUGCUUCUCUGAUGUUAGCGGCGGACGGGUGAGUAACACGUGGAUAACCUACCUAUAAGACUGGGAUAACUUCGGGAAACCGGAGCUAAUACCGGAUAAUAUUUUGAACCGCAUGGUUCAAAAGUGAAAGACGGUCUUGCUGUCACUUAUAGAUGGAUCCGCGCUGCAUUAGCUAGUUGGUAAGGUAACGGCUUACCAAGGCAACGAUGCAUAGCCGACCUGAGAGGGUGAUCGGCCACACUGGAACUGAGACACGGUCCAGACUCCUACGGGAGGCAGCAGUAGGGAAUCUUCCGCAAUGGGCGAAAGCCUGACGGAGCAACGCCGCGUGAGUGAUGAAGGUCUUCGGAUCGUAAAACUCUGUUAUUAGGGAAGAACAUAUGUGUAAGUAACUGUGCACAUCUUGACGGUACCUAAUCAGAAAGCCACGGCUAACUACGUGCCAGCAGCCGCGGUAAUACGUAGGUGGCAAGCGUUAUCCGGAAUUAUUGGGCGUAAAGCGCGCGUAGGCGGUUUUUUAAGUCUGAUGUGAAAGCCCACGGCUCCACCGUGGAGGGUCAUUGGAAACUGGAAAACUUGAGUGCAGAAGAGGAAAGUGGAAUUCCAUGUGUAGCGGUGAAAUGCGCAGAGAUAUGGAGGAACACCAGUGGCGAAGGCGACUUUCUGGUCUGUAACUGACGCUGAUGUGCGAAAGCGUGGGGAUCAAACAGGAUUAGAUACCCUGGUAGUCCACGCCGUAAACGAUGAGUGCUAAGUGUUAGGGGGUUUCCGCCCCUUAGUGCUGCAGCUAACGCAUUAAGCACUCCGCCUGGGGAGUACGACCGCAAGGUUGAAACUCAAAGGAAUUGACGGGGACCCGCACAAGCGGUGGAGCAUGUGGUUUAAUUCGAAGCAACGCGAAGAACCUUACCAAAUCUUGACAUCCUUUGACAACUCUAGAGAUAGAGCCUUCCCCUUCGGGGGACAAAGUGACAGGUGGUGCAUGGUUGUCGUCAGCUCGUGUCGUGAGAUGUUGGGUUAAGUCCCGCAACGAGCGCAACCCUUAAGCUUAGUUGCCAUCAUUAAGUUGGGCACUCUAAGUUGACUGCCGGUGACAAACCGGAGGAAGGUGGGGAUGACGUCAAAUCAUCAUGCCCCUUAUGAUUUGGGCUACACACGUGCUACAAUGGACAAUACAAAGGGCAGCGAAACCGCGAGGUCAAGCAAAUCCCAUAAAGUUGUUCUCAGUUCGGAUUGUAGUCUGCAACUCGACUACAUGAAGCUGGAAUCGCUAGUAAUCGUAGAUCAGCAUGCUACGGUGAAUACGUUCCCGGGUCU
rnacentral:rRNA from 1 species